rnacentral:rRNA from 1 species
UACGUAGGGUGCAAGCGUUAAUCGGAAUUACUGGGCGUAAAGCGUGCGCAGGCGGCGAUGUAAGACAGAUGUGAAAUCCCCGGGCUCAACCUGGGAACUGCAUUUGUGACUGCAUCGCUGGAGUACGGCAGAGGGGGAUGGAAUUCCGCGUGUAGCAGUGAAAUGCGUAGAUAUGCGGAGGAACACCGAUGGCGAAGGCAAUCCCCUGGGCCUGCACUGACGCUCAUGCACGAAAGCGUGGGGAGCAAACAGG